rnacentral:rRNA from 1 species
CCUACGGGAGGCAGCAGUGGGGAAUAUUGCACAAUGGGGGAAACCCUGAUGCAGCAACGCCGCGUGAGUGAAGAAGUAUUUCGGUAUGUAAAGCUCUAUCAGCAGGGAAGAAAAUGACAGUACCUGACUAAGAAGCCCCGGCUAACUACGUGCCAGCAGCCGCGGUAAUACGUAGGGGGCAAGCGUUAUCCGGAUUUACUGGGUGUAAAGGGAGCGUAGACGGCUGCGCAAGUCAGAAGUGAAAGCCCGGGGCUCAACCGCGGGACUGCUUUUGAAACUGUGUAGCUAGAGUGCAGGAGAGGUAAGUGGAAUUCCUAGUGUAGCGGUGAAAUGCGUAGAUAUUAGGAGGAACACCGGUGGCGAAGGCGGCUUACUGGACUGUAACUGACGUUGAGGCUCGAAAGCGUGGGGAGCAAACAGGAUUAGAUACCCUUGUAGUC